GGAGCCAGGGGAGCGGGCACUGGGGUAAUUAAGAGGGGAAAGGGAAGAGGCUACACCGUGGUAAAUAUGAGGAGGGGAGCGGGCAGUCAUUUCAGCUCUAUCCUCUCCACUCUCUCCAUUUUCUCUCUCCCAAAUCUGUACAAGUGCUUGGUGUUCCCGGAGGGGUUCUUUUAACAUUCAGAUCCGACCGCUCCUGCACUACCAGACAGAGAGAAAGAUGGCCGAUGCUGCUGGUCAAGAGGUUUGUGGAGUUUGUUUCAACCAUUGCAACUAUGGGAGCAAGGGAAGCGGUUUCAGCAUGUUUGCAUGGGAGGAGUUCAACAAUGCAGGGGUUGUGCCUUGCAAUGGAAGGGUCCGUUUCAACAAUGUGACAGGAGAGAAGGUGACGAUUGUGGCAAACCAAUGGACAUACACUGUAAAGUGUUAAAAGGGUCGUAUAAAGAGUGCUAUGUAUGGGAGCGGUUGGAGGAAGUUCUAUGAUGACAACAUGCUGGGGAAGGGUCAAAUGGUGGUGUUCUUCCUGGAUGAACCUUCGCCUAGGGCAGCUAUUUGUGUGAUCCAAGUGGGCAACGGCUCUGAAGAUGAACAACCUAUGGAAGAGGGUGAUCCCAUUGAAGAUUCAGAUUCAGAUGAUGAGGAUGGAGAAGCUUCAAGCGAUGAUGGUGAAGGCAUUGUUCGCACCAGGGGGCUUUUGCUUACUGAGACAGAGGGUUUUCAGCUACAAGGGCUGCUGCCUCUCAGUGAUGAUUUCAUCGGGUUUCCUUUCGUUCACCGCCUCACAAAGACAGACAAUUGUUUGGGCAUGAUGUCUCUGGAAUGUGGGUCCAGACUCAACAUCUUUCUAGAGGCUACCCAACGGCACUGUUCGAAUUGAUACACAGAGAGAAAACGGGGGAGGAAGGAAGCCGCAUCACGGGGCGGCGACAUCGAAGGUUUCCGCGGCGGAACUCGCCGGUGAUGAGAUGCUCGGCGACGCCUGCGAGGAGAUGCUCGGCGAUCCGAGCGCCCCUCCAGAGUCCUCGCGCCCUGCUGAUGAGUGUCUGAUGGAUGCCCGCAUGCAGAUUGAACGCGAGAUAGAAACUAAAACCAAGUCCUCCUUGAAAGAAGGGUUAGGUCAACAGCUUAAAACUGAUCAUAUGGAGGAGUCCAAAGACUUAACAAGAGAUUGCCUAAACAAAGUGCCGCACACAGGUAUAGCUUUUGAAGUUGAAGGAGGGAAACCUGGGAGUGAUAGAAAUGAAGAAGGCGGAGAUAAGUUGUGUUAAAGAUACUGAUUUAGAAGAGAGAGAGGCUAUGAUGUCGAGAUCACUGACACUGAAGCAUCAGAGGGUUUGCUAUACGAAGAAGAGGGUUUGCUAUACGAAGAAGUUCUGACAUUUGGUGUGUAACACUUUAUCUAUAAAUAUCCACUUUUUGUUUUUUUGUGUUGGAAUAUUAGGCAAGUUCAUGAUUAAUUCCAGUAAAUAAUUCAUGACUAGAAGAGAUACUAGCAUGUAAUAAUCUAGCAAACUAGAAGAACAGCAAGACAUGCGUAACAGCAGCAAGCAUGUAACAAUAGUUGUAGAAAUAGACAUGAACAAAGGAUGUUGGACGUACUGAUCGUUAGCUAUUAUGGGUGUGACAGUGUUGAUGA